rnacentral:rRNA from 1 species
GCAAGUCGAACGGCAACAUGAGAGCUUGCUCUUGAUGACGCGUGGCGCACGGGUGCGUAACGCGUAUACAAUCUACCUUUUACUGGGAGAUAGCCUUUAGAAAUGAAGAUUAAUACCCCAUAGUAUAAUGAUAUGGCAUCAUAUUAAUAUUAAAGUUUCGGCGGUAAAAGAUGAGUAUGCGUUCUAUUAGCUAGUUGGUGUGGUAACGGCACACCAUGGCAACGAUGGAUAGGGGCCCUGAGAGGAGGAUC